rnacentral:lncRNA from 1 species
CUACCCCACACAGUCCUUUGCGAUUUUCCUCUCCCACUUUGGGAGCCAGUGGAUGAAGAGGGUGGAACCAUAGAAUAGAAGGAACCCAGAUACAGAUCACUGUUCAGAGGAGAGCUGCCUGCCAGUCAGGAAGACCCAUUUUGGACUUUAUAAAUGCUCUGACCUUAAAAGGAAUAUUGGAGGCAGGAGGAAACAGAGGAAGCAAGAAGAAUUUCCUGGAAGGUAAUUAUUGUAAUAUAAGCAUACUUCGGAGAUAUUGCAGGUUCCGUUCCAGACCACUGCAACAGUGAAUAUCUCAAUCAACAUCUUCACCAGGAGUAGAUUUUAUCUUAAGAAGCCACUUUCUUUGCUCAUCCAGAAGCUACAACUCCUCAUCAUGAGAUUUCAGCAGUUCAGUUCCAUCUUCAGGCCCUAUUUUUAGUUCUCUUUAGUUCUCUUGCUAUUUCCACGACAUCUGCAAUGACUUCCUCAACUGAAGUCUUGAACCCCUCAAAGUAAUCCAUGAAGGAAGAUGACCACGGCCCCUCUGUUCCCUCGCCUGUGUGCCAAAUGGAUCCACAGCUAGAGACAAGCUCCUUCCCUUUGAACGGUGGGAAGCAGGCCAAGAUGUUUUAAAGACAGAUGGCAUCAGAUGCAGAGAAGCAAGCUGGAACUCGGAGCACAGCUGCCUUAUUUACUUACCUACUGGCUGCAUUUCUGAGAACCAGUUUUAUUCCUGUUCAAAGGAAGCCAGGCAGAGUUGGGAAAAUAUUUUCCUAGCCAGCUCCUUAGCACCACUGUCUGAGGGAAACCAUCUGGCCAAGAUGCCCUUCAACAUCACCGAGAACUACUGCCAUCAGCUAUAUAAUGAAACUAUUUUUAAGCAACAACAACAGCAGCAGAGAAGAGGGACCAACAGGGUCCAAUGCAUCAGAGGGGUCCAAACUGAUGCCACAGUUUUUUAAAUCCAUUCCUCCAUCGACACUUGGGUGGUUCCAUAUCUUGACUAUUGUGAAGAAUGCUGCGUGAAAAUAGAAGUGCAGCCUGAGCUUUUGCUGCGAUCUCCAAAAAAUCAUUGCCAG